AAGGUUAGGGAAAUCUAAGUAAAUCGCUUCAUUUUGUUGCGCUACGAAUCACUGUGUAAAUUGCAUUUUUACGGGGUAUUACAGAGAGAUUUCUUCCCAUAUGAAAAACUCAAUAAAAGGCUGAUCCAGCUGUUUGUUAACCACUGUUUGAUCUACUCUCGCAGGAAACAAUCUAACAAAAUGAAAAUUUUCUUCGCGCUUUUCGUUGUGGGAAUUUUGGCAUCGGCAAAUGCUCAACGUCCAGGUUCAUUAGCACACGAUCUCUAUAAUUGGGUGACCUAGCCAAGCGAAAGAGCCGAGCGGAAAAAAAAAAUAUAUAAAAUGCUUUUAAAAGUAAAAUAAAAAUAUUUUCUUCAAGGA